rnacentral:rRNA from 1 species
AGAGUUUGAUCCUGGCUCAGAAUGAACGUUGGCGGCGUGGAUUAGGCAUGCAAGUCGUGCGAGAAGGGUUCUUUUGCUUGCAUUAGGACCCGGAAAGCGGCGAAAGGGAGAGUAACGCGUGGAUUAUCUACCCCUGGAUCCGGGAUAGCUGUGGGAAACUACAGGUAAUACCGGAUAACGUCUCCGGACCAAAGGUGUGAUUCCGUCUGGGGAUGAGUCCGCGUCCUACUAGCUUGUUGGUGGGGUAAUGGCCUACCAAGGCAAUGAUGGGUACCGGGUGUGAGAGCAUGGCCCGGCUCACUGGGACUGAGACACUGCCCAGACACCUACGGGUGGCUGCAGUCGAGAAUCUUCCGCAAUGGGCGCAAGCCUGACGGAGCGACGCCGCGUGCGGGAUGAAGGCCUUCGGGUUGUAAACCGCUGUCAGUUGGGAGGAAAUGCAUAAGGGUACUCUCUUAUGUUUGACCGAUCUUCAGAGGAAGUCCGGGCUAAGUUCGUGCCAGCAGCCGCGGUAAGACGAACCGGACGAACGUUAUUCGGAAUUACUGGGCUUAAAGAGUGCGUAGGCGGCUUUGUAGGUGAGGUGUGAAAUCCCACGGCUCAACCGUGGAACUGCGCUUCAAACCACUUGGCUUGAGAGAGACAGAGGUAAGCGGAACUGAUGGUGGAGCGGUGAAAUGCGUUGAUAUCAUCAGGAACACCAGUGGCGAAGGCGGCUUACUGGGUCUCUUCUGACGCUGAGGCACGAAAGCUAGGGUAGCGAACGGGAUUAGAUACCCCGGUAGUCCUAGCUGUAAACGAUGAGCACUUGGUCGAGGAGACUUCCACAUCUUCUCGGCCGUAGCGAAAGUGUUAAGUGCUCCGCCUGGGG